UACGUAGGGUGCAAGCGUUAAUCGGAAUUACUGGGCGUAAAGCGUGCGCAGGCGGUGAUGUAAGACAGAUGUGAAAUCCCCGGGCUCAACCUGGGAACUGCAUUUGUGACUACAUCGCUGGAGUGCGGCAGAGGGGGAUGGAAUUCCGCGUGUAGCAGUGAAAUGCGUAGAUAUGCGGAGGAACACCGAUGGCGAAGGCGGGUCUCUGGGCCGAUACUGACGCUGAUGCGCGAAAGCGUGGGGAGCAAACGGG
rnacentral:rRNA from 1 species